rnacentral:rRNA from 1 species
CUACGGGGGGCUCCAGCUGCGAAUAUUUUACAAUGCACGAAAGUGUGGUAAAGCGAGCCAAAGUGCUUAUCGUACAGAUAAGCUUUUCUUUAGUGUAAAAAACUAAAGGAAUAAGGACUGGGAAAGACCGGUGCCGGCCGCCGCGGUAAUACCGGCAGUUCGAGUGGCAUCCAACUUUAUUGGGUCUAAAACAUCCGUAGCUUGUUAUUUAAGUCUCUUGUGAAAUCUAAUGUCUCAAGCAUUAGGCCUGCAGGAGAUACUGAAUAGCUAGAGACCGGUAGGCGUAAGGAGUACGGUUGAGGUAGUGGUAAAAUAUGUUAAUCUCAAUUGGACUAACAAUUUAGCGAAGGCACCUUACGAGGACGGAUCUGACAGUGAGGGAUGAAGGCCAGGGGCGCAAAACGGAUUAGAUACCCCCCGUAGUC